rnacentral:misc_RNA from 1 species
GAUGAAGAACGCAGCGAAAUGCGAUAAGUAGUGUGAAUUGCAGAAUUCAGUGAAUCAUCGAAUCUUUGAACGCACAUUGCGCCUUCUAGUAUUCUGGGAGGCAUGCCUGUUUGAGCGUCAUUAAACCUCUCUCAAGUAUGAUUACUUGGAUGUGAAGGAAGAGUACCUUAAACUCAAGGAGUGUUCUCCUUUGAAAUUGAUUAGCAGAUGGUAAUGUUAUUAAAUCCCUGAUGUUGUAAGAAAUAACAGUGGUUUUGUAGACUAUUAUCUAGCUUUAAAUUAUAAUUUUUAUUAUGGUUGACCUCAAAUCAGGUAAGGAUACCCGCUGAACUUAAGCAUAUCAAUAAGCGGAGGA